GGGUGCGUCGCAGCCCCGGAACCAGGCGCCCGCCGGAGGAACCAACCAAACUCUUUCUGUAGUCCCCUCGCGGACGUAUUUCUUACAGCUCUGAGCAAAAAUUCAAAAUGAAUCAAAACUUUCAACAACGGAUCUCUUGGUUCUGGCAUCGAUGAAGAACGCAGCGAAAUGCGAUAAGUAAUGUGAAUUGCAGAAUUCAGUGAAUCAUCGAAUCUUUGAACGCACAUUGCAUGCUCGCUGAUGAUGCUCGUAGAUGCUCUCCGAGCGUCAUUUCAACCCUCGAACCCCUCCGGGGGAUCGGCGUUGGGGAUCGGGACCCCUCACACGGGUGCCGGCCCCGAAAUACAGUGGCGGUCUCGCCGCAUGCUCGUAGUAGUCGCUCGUGAUGCAACUCGCACCGGGAGCGCGGCGCGUCCACGUCCGUAAAACACCCAUGCUCGCUGAUAGUCGCUGUGGGAUCAGGUAGGAAUACCCGCUGAACUUAUAGGUCAUGCGUCCGUGAUAGUCGCUGAUAGUCGUCGUAAGAGUCUUCGAUAGGUGCCGGCGAUAGUGCUCGCG
rnacentral:rRNA from 1 species